CCGGCCCCAGCAGCGUGCCCUCCAACUGGCCACGCGCAGCGCUGGCCGAGGAGAUGUGGAGCGACUGGGACUCGGCCAGGGGCCACAGCCAGCCACCCAACAUUUUCCUUAUCAAGCCCUCACAAUGGCGGGUAUUUAUUGAACAUCGUGCCCCGGGUUUUUGGCUGCGUCCUUCAUGCCAGGUGUGCCACACAGCAACCCAGGGAGGGUUGUUUCACUGAUUCAAUGCAUGGACCAAGAUAUCAUUCCGGAUAUGAGAUUUUAUUAGAGAAGCUAACAAAUUAAACAAAUUUUACUUAGGGCUUUCCAUUUUAUUAGGAAGUUCCUGCUAUAUAUUACAACACUGAAGUUUUUUGGGGGGAACGGGUGUAACUCAAGAAAAAUGAUGAAUUUAUGUGUACUUUAGGCAUCCUGAUAAUUCAGAGUGAGUGUUUUUGCUAUGUUUAUAAAACAGUAAGAAACGGGGGAGAUAUAUGGAUUAGUAAUUAGAAAACAGAUGUCUGUUCUACAUUUGGCACUAUUUCCAAAGUCUUACAUGAAUCUCUUAACUUUUGUGAGCCUUUGUGUCCUCCUCUAGAAAAUAACAGGCUGGGAUCAGAUGAGCUCUAUGGAUGUGUCUUUGUUCGUUUUCUGUUGCUCAUCACAGAACACCUGAAACUGGGUAACUUAUAAAAAAAAAUUCUUAUAAUUCUGGGGGCUGGGAAGGGCAUGGUUUGGCAUCCCCUUCUUACUGGUGGGGACUCUCUGCAAAGUCCCAAGGCAGCACAGAGAGUCUCAUGGUGAGGGACUGAGUGUGCUAGCUCAGGUCCCUCUCUCUCCUUUUAUAAAGCCAUUAAUGCUGCUCCCAUGAUAAACCAUUAAUCCAUCAACCCAUGAAUCCAUUAAUCCAUGAAUGGAUUAAUCCAUCCAUGAGGCCAGAGCCCUCAUUACCCGAUCAUCUCUUAAAGGCCACCCUCUCAAUACCGCCAUGUUGGAGAUGAAGCUUCAACAUGAGUUUGGGAGGGGACAAACAUUCAAACCAUAGCAGGGCCCUCCCAAGGUUGCAAAGCAGAGUGGGAGGGAAGAAAUCUCAUGACACGAAAGCCAAACCUACUUGAGCUGGUUCAUCUCCACCUUCAGGCACUUUCCCAGGGCUGCAAUUCUUCUCUUGAGUAUGAAUACGUGCUGUCUACCAGUCAGGGUAAUUUGAAUGUUAAACGAGCUAAUGCGCACAAAGUGCCUAGACAUUGCCUGCCCCAUCGUAUAGGUCAUUUUAGUUUUCUCCCCACCUCCAACUUUGCCACGCUACCACUUGAUAACCACAUUAAGUUUGUAAAGAACUUGCAGCAUUGGGGGGAGGAUCAAGAUGGUGGACAAGAAACAUUGCCAGACAAAGUGUCUCUGCAAAAAAGACA